rnacentral:lncRNA from 1 species
GUGCACUUAUUGAUGUUGGAGAGGAUCAGAGAACCCUGGAUGCUGUCUGUCUGAAUUGUUGGAGUAUGACAUGAAUUCUGAAUGUUCUCUGGAUUUUAUGUCUGCAGCAAAGAGGCUCGCUGGCAGUCCAAUACAUCCUGGUUCAGCAAGACAAACAGGAUACUUUGAUACUUUAAAUAUCUACUAAUGCAAAUCCAUAGGUGUUUAAGAUUGCUUUGCAAAAUACUUUGUUUGCUGCUGGGACAUUAUUGGCUAAUUUUUACCUGGAAGACCCUUCUUUUCUUUUUUUUUUCUCUCUGAGAAGUACCUGCCUUUGAUGUACUUCUGUUACAGUACUGUAUUAACUUUCUGCAGGAUACUUGUGGCGUUUUCUUUCUUUUGAAACACCCUACAUACAAUUUCAAACUAAAAAUAAACACUUCUUAUUUACUAGCAGUGUUGUCUUUUCAGACAGGUAGCAGUUAGCCUCAAAGCUAAGGAACACACCUUGCUCAUGUUAAUGUCUGCCUUCAGCUACAUAUCUAUAUGAUCAUCAAUUGUGGGAGUAGGGUAUGUAUGCCAUGACCACCAAACCUAGUCAUAAAUCCAUGGUGUGCAAAACCAGUAAGUUGGCCACUGUGUACUGUAUUGUCAUCAGGAGCUAGAUAGAACUACAGGUGAUUUGCUUGCAAUUCUCUGUUGUCUAUGGACGACUUUUUUUGAAUGUGUAACUGUGUCAUAUGAGUAAACUUUACAUGAGCCAAAUUUGCUGGAAUUUCUAGUGGUUUCAGUAAACUAACAUCAGUAGAAAACAUGCACCGAGCUGUUCCUUCCCACCACUAAUGCAGUCAGGCACCCAGGCUCAGUCCAAGUUUGAACCAAAAUUCAGAUCAUCUGCCUGAACUUGUGGUAGCAAGGACUUUUGUGUGUCAGUCAGGCACCCAGGCUAGCAGUCCAACUGUCCAAGUUUGAACCAAAAAUUCAGAUCUGGCUGACCUUCUAGUGGUAACACCUUGUUCAUCCCUAAAAUUCCUUGUUGUUUCAUUAAUGUGUAGCAGUUAUGUGAAUCAUAUUUGAUUACUAAAGUUUGGCUUGUGCUUUGCAGGUUGAAUGGCAGGUUCUUGUAUGAAAGAUGAGAUGGGUUGUCAAGUGUCGCCCUGAACAAGGACAUAUUUUGGUAUCGAUGUUUCUCCGCUCUUGGGUCUGCUUGCUGGGAUAGUUGGUUCUCUUGUAAGGCCCUGCUUGGUGCUUGGACAUGAGAAGCUCUCAGCCUAAGGCCUCGUUUAGUUGGCAAAAUUUUUCGUUUUUGGAUACUGUAGCAUUUUGUUUUUAUUUGACAAACAUUAUCCAAUCACGGAGUAACUAGGCUCAAAAGAUUCAUCUCACAAAUUACAAGUAAACUGUGCAAUUAGUUUUUAUUUUCGUUUAUAUUUAAUGCUCCAUGCAUGCGACCAAAGAUUCGAUGUGACGGGGAAUCUUGAAAAUUUUUGCGAACUAAACAAGGCCUAAUUCCUUGAGAAAUCGAACUGUUUCCCACAAGGUGAUUGGCUGCGGCACCGAGCAAAGUACAAAACUGGUACUAUGAUCUCUCUCUUCUCCUUUUUUUCUUGAAAGAUGAAACUGUGAAUAUUUACAUCCGAGCAAAGCAAACGAAAGGCACAGCAGGGCUGUAGCCUGUAUGUAAUAUAUACACAGCAGCCAGAGUGACCCUCGCACACAGAUCCAUCACAGAGCAAGGCUGCACAGGAG